UGCAGACACGACACCACACUCCGUCUGCCUGCCUUCUCCUUAUCAUGUGCGGGUCUUUUUCUGUGAGUGCGUCUUUCGCUCUUACUAGCGCGAGUAGCAUGGCCCUCUCCACUCUGACGCUUCGGCGGUCGCGCUCAGCAGAGUUGCUGUCUGGCGUGCCGAUCAGCAAGGAGCUACGGCAGCGAAUCCGCACCAGCACGUCAGUCCUCCGUCGACCACCAUGCCUGGUUGUGGUGCUCGUCGGUGACCGUGCCGAUGCGAUCCGCUACGUCAACCACAAGAGGCGCGCCGCCGCGGAGUGCGGCAUUGAAGUGCAUCUCGUUCAUCUUUCCGCUACCAUUCAGCAGGUUGAGCUUCACAGGACCCUGGCUUCCGUCAACGACGACGUCGAGGUCGACGCCGUCCUUCUCCAGCUGCCGCUGCCACCUCAUCUGCGUACUCGACCGGCACUGCUCCACAUCCACCCAGGCAAGGACGUGGAUGGCCUCCACCCCUUGAACGCCGGAAGCCUCUGCCUGCAGGAUCAGAGGUCGCGCCUGCAUACACUUGUCGCGGCAUCCUCGGCAGCAUCAGCGUCGCUCGUCGACCAGCAGGCGCAGGGAAUGAUUGAGGAGAUGCUGUUGCCGGCUGCCACCAGCGGCGGCGACAGCGCCAUGCGUCACCGUUUCCAUGAGCGCAACAUCUUUGUGCCGUGCACCGCCCUCGCCAUCCGCACAGUGCUCUUCUCCUAUCUCGGCCGCACGGAAAACUUCGCGCACUUGUUGCCGGCAGCCCACAGCAACGACAUGUCUGCAGUGGAGGGUCCAUCAACGCUUCCGUCCCCAUCGUUGUCGGCAACUGCCGGCAUCGUUUCCCCGUCGUCGCCGGAAGGCAAGCAAUUCCCACGGAGCAGCGCGAGUACCCAAGCACCUCCCCGCCGCGACCUGCACGCCGUGAUCGUGAACAACAGCAGGGUGGUGGGGGUGCCGACGGCGGCGCUGCUGCAGUGCGCAGGCAGCUUUGCCGUCACGUUGUGCAGUCGCAGUAACUCGCUCGACACCAUUCGACAUGUCGCGCAGCAGGCGGACGUGCUCAUCACGGCUUAUGGAGCGGCGAAUGUGUUCGACCGGUCGUUUGUUCGAGAGGGGGCCAUCGUGAUCGACGCCGCCGUCAACGAGUUACCGGAGAUGACGUGCCAGAAGGAGGCAGCGGCAGAGACAGGCGGCAGCGCGCGAAAGAAGGGCAUCUGCGGCGACGUCGACAUAAAUUCGGUGUCCGCUGUUGCCGCGGCAAUCACGAAGACACCAGGCGGUGUUGGCCCUCUUACGGCGUCGCACCUGAUGUUCAACGUGUUGAAGGCGUAUCAGCUUCGACACGACAACGAGCGUCACUACAACAACAUCUACACAGAGUUCCUGAAGAUGUACGGCACGCACGAAAAGGUGCGGGGCCAUGCGCCGCCUCUAGGGAUGCCAUUCAUGGCUGCCCCAUGACAGGUGUCAGCGAACGCAGAGUUGGUACACAUGCCGGCCAAGGCGGCGCCGCUUGCGUCACGCGCGCCGGCCGUGCAGCGUGUCAUGGUCAUGUCACUCGAUGAAUCAGGCAAGGCUGCGAUGGUGCGCGAAGCGAGUGCGGCAGAGGAAGAGGGUGAUGCCAGCGACGAUACAGACGCCGGUAAGGAGAGCUACGGCGCUUGAGAUGCAUGUCUGAUGCUGGACCUCGUCGUUGGCGCACGGGUCGCAACGCGCGUAUGUGCACAAGUUUGUGUACGUGUGUGCGCAUGCGCAUGCGCGUGUGCGUGUGUGGUUGGGGGAGGGGGCAGGAGGCAGGGAAGGAGAGAAAGCUGAUGCUUCUGCGUGGACGUGCGCCUUACCUUUCCUCGUUGUUCUCUCGACGAAUGGCGAGAAUGCGCCGACUCCAGCUGCUGCGUAGUGCAUCGAAGAUCACGGUAUGCUCUUGCGCAGGUGUCAAACUCUGUCAUUCUCUCUCAUGCCGCACGUGGGUGUCUGCAUAGGUCGCCCACACCCUUUUGGUUGCUCCUCCUGCUUCUUCGCGUCUUCCCUGUUUCCUCAACCUCAACGGAUGCGAAUCUCAAGGUUUCUGUGCGUCACCGCUAUUUUCUCUCUGACUUCCUUCCGUGUUCUUGGACUCACCGCGCUGGGGCGCGGUCGUCGACGUCCGUGCUGCGUGAUGGACUCCAUACCCAUCCAUUCACGCACACCUUUCCUUCUCUCGUUUACUUGUGUUGUGGCCGUCGUUGUCGUGCACGCACCGACGCCCCUUUUUGCGGGUGUGUCAGCUCUUCCUCGCCCUCUUCGACUGCUGUUGCGGAAGCGCUGGCGCGGUUGACUUUCGGGACCCUUUCCACGGCGGAUGCCCCUUUCUCCCAACCACGCGACUCUUCACUCCUCCCUCCCCGUAGCUUCUCGUAUCCUUGGCACGUAUUCAUCGUCUCAGUGGGAUUUAG
rnacentral:misc_RNA from 1 species